CGGCGAACGGGUGAGUAACACGUGGACAAUCUACCGUCGAGUGGGGAAUAACCAGGGGAAACUCCGGCUAAUUCCGCGUAAUUCCGUCAUUCUUUGGGGUGGCGGGGAAAGGGGGCCAAUUCUUGAAAGCUCCCGCUCUUCGAGGAGUCCGCGUCUGAUUAGUUUGUUGGUGGGGUAAUGGCCUACCAAGACUUCGAUCAGUAGCCGGCCUGAGAGGGCGAUCGGCCACACUGGAACUGAGACACGGUCCAG
rnacentral:rRNA from 1 species